AGAGUUUGAUCAUGGCUCAGGAUGAACGCUGACUAAAUGCUUAACAUAUGCAAGUCAUCGUUGAAUUUGGGUUUUUAGCUUAGCGUUUGGGUGGCGGACAGCUGAGUAACGCUGAAUAAACUUGCCUCACACUGCCGCACAACUUUUGAAACCCAAUGCUAAUACCUACUAUUAUGAUAUGAGGGCCUCCGAUAAUUAUCAAAGCUAUACGCGCUGUGACAGAGCUUUGCUUCCCAUUCGCUAGAUGGACAGGUAACGGCUCACCCAGGCCAUCAUGGGUACCCGGCCUGAGAGGUCGAUCAGCCACGUCGCCACUGUAUACACCUCCCUUACUCCUACGGCACGCACGCAGUGGGGAAUAUUGGACAAUGGACCCAUAGUCUGCAUCCUCCGAUUCUGUGUGCACGAUGAAGUUUUUCCGAAUGUAUGGUGCUUUCACUUGUUAAAAAUGAAAUGACAGUGCCACCAGAGUACGUGACUGCUAGUUACUUGCCAGCAGCCACUGUAUUACUUAUGUCACGAGCGUUAUCCGGAUUUAUUGGGCGUAACGCUCGUCUAAGUGGUUGUGUUAGUCUGAUGUGAAAAUGCUCGGCUCAACUCUGUAUUGCGUUGGAGACUGCAUAACUAGACUACUGGAGAGGUCUGCCGAACUACAAGUGUAGAGGUGAAAUUAGUAGAUAUUUGUCGGAAUGCCGUUGGAGAAGCCAGCCUACUGGACAGAUACUGACGGUGAAGCGAGAAAGCGUGGGUAGCAAUCAGGCUUAGAUACCUUGCUAGUUCAUGCCGUCAAUGAUGAAUAGUAGGUGUUGGGGGUCGAACCUCAGCGCCCAACCAAACGCGACAAGUAAUCUGCCUCGGGAGGACGUACGCAAGUAUGAAACUCAAAGGAAGAGACGGGGAGCCGCACAACCGGUGGAGCAUCUGGUGUAAUUAGACGCAACGCGAGGAGCCUCACCAGCGUGGGACAUAUUACGAGUGAGAUAGAGAUAGUUCAGUGUCCCCUCGGGGAAACUUAAAGACAGGUGGUGCAUGGCGGUGGUCAGUUCGUGUCGUGAGAUGUUGGGUUAAGUCCCGCAACGAGCGCAACCCCUUUCCGCAUGUUCCCUUCAGUAAGUCUGGGGCAUCAUGCGAUCCUGCCUACGACGAGUAGGAGGAAGGGGGGGAUGACGUCAAAGUCAUCAUGCCCCUUAUAUGCUGGGGUACACACGUGGUACAAUGGGUAGAACAGAGAGUUGCAAAGCUGUGAAGUGGAGUUCAUUUCAGAAAACUAUUCCUAGUUCGGGAUUGACUCUGCAACUCGAGUACAUGAAGUUGGAAUCGCUAGUAAUCGCGAAUCAGCCAUGUCGCGGUGAAUACGUUCUCGGGUCUGCUACACACCGCCCGUCA
rnacentral:rRNA from 1 species